rnacentral:rRNA from 1 species
UACGAAGGGGGCUAGCGUUGUUCGGAAUCACUGGGCGUAAAGCGCACGCAGGCGGAUUGAUAAGUCAGGGGUGAAAUCCCGGAGCUCAACUUCGGAAUUGCCUUUGAUACUGUCAAUCUCGAGUCCGGGAGAGGUGAGUGGAAUUCCUAGUGUAGAGGUGAAAUUCGUAGAUAUUAGGAAGAACACCAGUGGCGAAGGCGGACUCACUGGUCCGGUACUGACGCUGAGGUGCGAAAGCGUGGGGAGCA